rnacentral:rRNA from 1 species
GACGAACCGGACAAACGUUAUUCGGAAUUACUGGGCUUAAAGGGUUUGUAGGCGGCUUUGUAAGUCAGGUGUGAAAUCCCUCGGCUCAACCGAGGAAUAGCGCUUGAUACUGCAAGGCUUGAGGGAGACAGGGGUAAGCGGAACUGAUGGUGGAGCGGUGAAAUGCGUUGAUAUCAGCAGGAACACCGGUGGCGAAAGCGGCUUACUGGGUCUCUUCUGACGCUGAGGAACGAAAGCUAGGGGAGCGAACGGG